CCAGAGGGGGACAACAGUUGGAAACGACUGCUAAUACCGCAUACGAUCUAAUCUCGGCAUCGAGGAUAGAUGAAAGGUGGCCUCUACAUGUAAGCUAUCACUGAAGGAGGGGAUUGCGUCUGAUUAGCUAGUUGGAGGGGUAACGGCCCACCAAGGCAAUGAUCAGUAGCCGGUCUGAGAGGAUGAACGGCCACAUUGGGACUGAGACACGGCCCAG
rnacentral:rRNA from 1 species